AGAGUUGAUCCUGGCUAGGACGAACGCUGGCGGCGUGCCUAACACAUGCAAGUCGAACGAGGAGAUCCUUCGGGAUGAUCCUAGCGGCGGACGGGUGAGUAACACGUGGGCAACCUGCCUCAUAGAGAGGAAUAGCCUUCCGAAAGGGAGAUUAAUACCUCAUAACAUUGCAGUUUCGCAUGGAACAGCAAUUAAAGGAGUAAUCCGCUAUGAGAUGGGCCCGCGGCGCAUUAGCUAGUUGGUGAGGUAACGGCUCACCAAGGCGACGAUGCGUAGCCGACCUGAGAGGGUGAUCGGCCACAUUGGGACUGAGACACGGCCCAGACUCCUACGGGAGGCAGCAGUGGGGAAUAUUGCACAAUGGGGGAAACCCUGAUGCAAGCAACGCCGCGUGAGUGAUGACGGCCUUCGGGUUGUAAAGCUCUGUCUUCAGGGACGAUAAUGACGGUACCUGAGGAGGAAGCCACGGCUAACUACGUGCCAGCCGCUGC
rnacentral:rRNA from 1 species